ACCGGAGCUUCGAGUCCGUCCCCGGUGCUGCCUGCGCGUUCACCUGAGUCUCGCUGGAGCUCUUCUCGCCCGCCCACCUCAUCUCAACCCACUUUCCGCGGGGAGCGGCACCAAGCUGGGCCUUCCUCGGAUCAGGCGUCCCCUGAAGUCGCCACGCCCCUCUGCGUCCCCCUUCGGUCCCGCUAGGACCCCGUCCGGGCUGCCGUCGCCUCGUCGCUAUGGCGCCCACCAUCCAGACCCAGGCCCAGCGGGAGGAUGGCCACAGGCCCAAUUCCCACCGGACUCUGCCUGAGAGGUCUGGAGUGGUCUGCCGAGUCAAGUACUGCAAUAGCCUCCCUGAUAUCCCCUUCGACCCCAAGUUCAUCACCUACCCGUUCGACCAGAACAGGUUCGUCCAGUACAAAGCCACUUCCUUGGAGAAACAGCACAAACAUGACCUCCUGACUGAGCCAGACCUGGGGGUCACCAUCGAUCUCAUCAAUCCUGACACCUACCGCAUCGACCCCAAUGGUGUGUGGGGACAGGGAGGGUCUGCUCUAGGUCAGCAAAGGCCCAGGCCUGGGCCUCCCUCAUGGUCCUCCUGCCCCCUGCUCUCCUCUAGUUCUUCUAGAUCCAGCUGAUGAGAAACUUUUGGAAGAGGAGAUUCAGGCCCCCACCAGCUCCAAGAGAUCCCAGCAGCACGCGAAGGUGGUGCCAUGGAUGCGAAAGACAGAGUACAUCUCCACUGAGUUCAACCGUUAUGGCAUCUCCAAUGAGAA
rnacentral:sRNA from 1 species